AAAGUAACGUGUAGCCAAGGACAACUUGCCGAUCAUGUUACUUUUUCUUUUUGGUUUUAUAUAUCUUGUAUUUUAUACGGAAUAAUAUAUCCUAAUUUCUUCCUGAAUCCUUCAAAAACCAAAAAAAAAAAAAAAAGUUUGAAACUAAAUUGUCUUAAUAGAGUAUAAAGAAAGAUCAUUUAAAUCGGCAAGUCAUCCUUGGCUGCACACUACUUUCG
rnacentral:pre_miRNA from 1 species